rnacentral:tRNA from 1 species
GCACAGAUGGCGUAACUGGUAGCCGCGCUGCGUUCAGGGCGCAGUGUCUUAGGACGUGUGAGUUCGACUCCCACUCUGUGCACCA